UUCUGCCUGCAAUCUUUCGCCGGGAAUUCUCGCUCUUCCAGUGGGGGGGACCUCCUACCUUCCUCUCUUUCGCUCUUCCAUCCUUCGUCUCGCUCUUCAACUGCCUCCGUCGCUGUCCGUACGCUCCUCGCGGUUCGUUCCGGCAGAGCUGGUGGCUGCGGUUUUCGGGCUGCUUGCGGAGCAUUCUCUCUAGCAAUGGAGACCGACGAAGCAGGGGGUCGCCGGGCUGCUUCCGUUUCAGCUUCGAGUUCCGACGAACCGCUUUGGCUUCUCCGGUUCGGCUCCCGUUCGGGCGUUCUUUCUCGACCUCCUAAUGGGCGGCGGCGAUUCGAUUUUUUUUUUUUUUUCCGAUUAGUUUUUGUGAGGUUUCGGCUCGAUUUCUUCCGAUUGGCGGGUGAAGAUGGCGGGAGUGGAAUCCGGAGAAGGAUUUGCCGGCCGGCCAUGGUCACGGAGGACUUCGAAGGCGGUGGUGCUUCGUCGCUUCAAUUGGCAGAGGCUGUGGACGAUCUCCCUUGGUAAUUGCUUCGACUCGAGAAAGUUCCACGUCGACGUCGAUUUUCUCGACCGUUGCGCGCCUGAGCUCAGUCCGUGGCUUCGCUUUGCUGUCGACGACCACGUCAAGGACCUCUCAUUCGAUAUGACUAAAGAGGCCGUGCGAGAUGGCCGGCCAUUUCGCGGUACCGCUGCUCCUUCAUAAAUGCUCUUAGCUGGUGAACCUGCAUAUGAGGCUCCGGAGCUUCUGGUUUAGUAGGAGUAUUGCUUGGAUUAAUCUUAGGUCCCUGUCCAUCUGUGACUCGGAGGUGACCAAUGAGGUGAUGCAUGAGAUGUUGAAGGGCAGCCGGAUGCCGCGGUCUGAAGCAAAACAUCAAGCUUUGUUCGAGAACUUUGAGGGAAAUUGCGGUCCAUAGCUGCUUUUGGUAUGCACUUGAUGAGGUUUUUCCCUUGGAGAUUUCGAGUCCUCUUUUGCUGUCCUGUCAUUGCGUUUGAGAGGGUUCUUUGGCAUGAUGAGGCAGCUGGUAACGGAAGUCUCAUCCUUGAUUGAAGCAGAGUCGAACUUUUUUUAUUUUUAUUUUUAUUUUUAUGAGAGGCGAGGAUUUUGGAAGGCCAACUGAGUGUUUUUUUCGAAAUUGGUUUGAGUUUUACAGAGGGUAUUGCAGCCUAGUUGAGGAGCUGCUUCAGAAGCUGCAGAAUGUGACUAAGCUUUUGAUUGGUAAAUUGUGCCUUCGGGAAGUUCAUUCCAAACUUCAGCACAAGGAAUCUGGUUUACAUCAUUUGCAACUCUGCUUGAUGACAACCGGUGCAAAUACCCAUUGUGCCUUCAGAAUAACUACCAAAAAGACCAAAGAAAGAGCAGCUGGUUUAGGGUCAGUCUUUUUCCUGCUCAGUUUUGCAUAAGCAUGAUUCCAAAGAUCAUGAUAAUUAUUGAUGGAAAGUAGUUGUGUCCUAUUUUCUAAAUACUGAAAAAGCAAUUGUUGACUAGAAUUAGUAUAUAAGAUCUACUAUUUCAACAAUUGAAAGCUUUGGCAUCGCUUAAUUUGUCAUAUAGUCGGGAACCAAAAUAGCUCUCAAAGCACAUACCUGCAGGGCUUUUGUAAUCGUAUUUGGAAGGAAGAGUAAAUUAUCUUAUUCUUUUGCUUUUCAAUUGUUGGAUGUGCUUAGGUUUUAUCACUUGCAGCAGAGGUACUAUGCGUGCUAUUUUCUUUGCCCAGUUGCAAGUCUCUAACUCUGCAUGCACAAGUGGAGAAAUGAGAUUUUCCUAGUAUAGCAAAACUGUACCUUGUAACAAGGAGUUUAGCAUAAAGCUCACCAACUGGGGCUUGGUCGAGUAUUAACAUUCGGCC